GGGAGAGCUAGGCUGGCGCGCUAGUCCUGCGCUGUAACCGUGAACGGACUUUACACGGAGCCGAAGCCCAAGGAAGGGUUGCCUUUGUUUCAAUGGUCCUUCUUGUCUUUGCUGACAGCCUGUCCUUUGGGACCGCUGCCAUGCGAACCGUGUCAGACCCUGACGGGAGCAGCACUAAGCAUGGUCAGUUGGUGUUCAGAGGGUUGCAGGUUCGAGAAGCUAGAAGGGUUCAACUGUUGGGGCUUAGUCGAUUCGACUGCGGGCGUGCCCC
rnacentral:SRP_RNA from 1 species